UUCACAGCUUUUAAAUGUGAUAUUUUGUCAGCUUUCACUUGUAGUUCUAUCUCAGAAGGAAUUAACUUAAACAUUGAUGAAUGUUGCAAGUUAGUACAUUCGUGUGACGACUUAAAACUCAUCCCUAUAAAAAUUUCAUUCAAAUUUUCAGAGUUUAGAUCGUUUUUUGAAGAACCAGUAUAUUGACUUUUGCUUCGAUUAUACACUUUUUAUCGGAGAUAGAAUCAGUCACUUUAUCCAAACACUGACAUAAACCAAGACGUUGCCAUUUACCAUGCACCAGCUUACUACCAGGUAGCCACACAUGUAACAUGUUCGCCAAAACAAAAUCGGGGUCACUCUACCAACAGUUACACAUGUGCUUGGAAUAUCGCUUUUAAUUCAAUCAAAUAAGAUUAAAAUCACCUGCUCUUUGUCUUUGUAUCGCAUACUUUCUGGAUAUAUGCGGUGUUAAGAUUACAUCUGAUAAUAGCAUACGAAAUUACGUCGUGUUUGACACAACAUUCAUCGCUAUAAACUCCAAUAAACAUGUGUCGAACUUAUGUUGUCACUCGGACGCUUCCUUGUAAAACGUAUAUUGAAGUUAAGCGCUGUGAUGAUCUCGACCUCGACAUGAGUUUACUAACAACAGACGAUAUUCCCGUACUUUAAUCUGAAUUAUUUGAAAUCGUGAACAUAAAAAGAAAACGUGCAUUGGUCGGUUCCUCGUCUGAAAAUACAUCCAUAUUAAACAAUAGGCGUAUGACAGACGAGGCCAAAACCUCUGGUCAGAUUACAUGUUUAUCGUUCGGUUCACCUAUGACCUCGUUUGUUUACCUUGCUCCCGAGAUGUGACGAGAGUGCUCCUCGAGCUCGUGCGAUCUAAAUGUGCACGAUGCAAGUAUUAAAUACUGUAAUAUUUAUCUUAAAAGUAUGACACAAUAGAAGUUUAUGAUUUAGAAUAAAAAACACGCACAAGUAAAAAUGAAUCGUGUUAAUCUCUGGCAGUAAAAUAUUUAUCCCAUGAUGCAACACACACGAGUUUAGCGGGAAGUCUGAUAGCCAUGUUUGAAUUCACCGGAUGUUUAUUUCCAGAAGAAAAGUAUAAACAAACACGACGAUAGCCUAAAAACGAAGUUUGUUUCCAGUCUUACUGAAGAAGAUCGACUUACUUCAAGUUACCGACGAAUGAAUAUCAGCUUUCUCGUUGUUUUUGACGACCGAUGCAUAUUUUUACCGACAAACAUCGUUACGAGACAGGGGUUUUGAUGAUUAAUUUAUCACAGAUUACACGGCCGAAGGAAACGCAGUACCGAUCCAUGUGUUACAAUCAGACUGAGUCUUCAUGCAGUACAUUCUGGAAUGAGGAACACCGCAUGCAUUAAUUGUGGUCCAAAUUGAUGGCAUUGACUUAACACAAAGCAGAAAGGAAUGAAGAGAAAUGAAGAAGUUUAUGUUUCACAUUAAUUAAGAUUAUUCGAGAUAUGUUAUCUGUCGAGUUUACGGACACACAUGAAAACAGUUUCCAGUACAUCUGGGCUACUUCGAGGAAACUACGUAUACUGUCUGAAAUCAGUCUUGUGCGUCGGUGACAAAAUGUAUACAUAUCCUACUAUAACUCUGCUGGAAAAUAUUAUUUUGUACUAUUUUCCUACUAUUUUAGAAAAAAAA